rnacentral:sRNA from 1 species
GCAAGACUUCGCGCUGCCUCGGCGUGAGGAAUUCGAUCGUACGGUGGCGUUCGUUCUGGACGCCCCCGCCAGGCGCGGGCGUCU